rnacentral:lncRNA from 1 species
AAGCCAUGGAGCAUCUUGUGAUCGGGAAAUGAUGUCUGACUAGAAUGCCUAUAGAGGCACUACUGGUGCUCACAGUCAGCUCCUGUUGUUGACUCUUACUGAGGAUUUUUAUGAAGAAAUUUGGACAAAUUCCCACUUGGUGGUCAACAGUUUUUUUCAUAACUUGACUUUUUAUUUUCCAGGAGCACACAGAUCAUUCAAAGGUUCUCUCUUCCAAGCUAAAGAAGACUUCUCAAGUUGGAUAUCUCAGUAAUGGGAUCCUGACUCCAUCUAUGCACUUUAGAAAUGUUGACAUUCAGAACUUAAGAUCACUCUGCUAUGUU